UAGGGAAUCUUCCACAAUGGACGCAAGUCUGAUGGAGCAACGCCGCGUGAGUGAAGAAGGUUUUCGGACCGUAAAGCUCUGUUGUUGGUGAAGAAGGAUAGAGGUAGUAACUGGCCUUUAUUUGACGGUAAUCAACCAGAAAGUCACGGCUAACUACGUGCCAGCAGCCGCGGUAAUACGUAGGUGGCAAGCGUUGUCCGGAUUUAUUGGGCGUAAAGCGAGCGCAGGCGGAAGAAUAAGUCUGAUGUGAAAGCCCUCGGCUUAACCGAGGAAUUGCAUCGGAAACUGUUUUUCUUGAGUGCAGAAGAGGAGAGUAGAACUCCAUGUGUAGCGGUGGAAUGCGUAGAUAUAUGGAAGAAUACCAGUGGCGAAGGCGGCUCUCUGGUCUGCAACUGACGCUGAGGCUCGAAAGCAUGGGUAGCGAACAGGAUUAGAUACCCUGGUAGUCCAUGCCGUAAACGAUGAGUGCUAAGUGUUGGGAGGCUUCCGCCUCUCAGUGCUGCAGCUAACGCAUUAAGCACUCCGCCUGGGGGAGUACGACCGCAAGGUUGAAACUCAAAGUGAA
rnacentral:rRNA from 1 species